CUAUAAUGCAGUCGNNGAGUUCUGAUUAUUGAAAGGUGCUUGCAUCUUGAUUUAAUUUUGAACGAGUGGCGGACGGGUGAGUAACACGUGGGUAACCUGCCCUUAAGUGGGGGAUAACAUUUGGAAACAGAUGCUAAUACCGCAUAAAUCCAAGAACCGCAUGGUUCUUGGCUGAAAGAUGGCGUAAGCUAUCGCUUUUGGAUGGACCCGCGGCGUAUUAGCUAGUUGGUGAGGUAACGGCUCACCAAGGCAAUGAUACGUAGCCGAACUGAGAGGUUGAUCGGCCACAUUGGGACUGAGACACGGCCCAAACUCCUACGGGAGGCAGCAGUAGGGAAUCUUCCACAAUGGACGCAAGUCUGAUGGAGCAACGCCGCGUGAGUGAAGAAGGCUUUCGGGUCGUAAAACUCUGUUGUUGGAGAAGAAUGGUCGGCAGAGUAACUGUUGUCGGCGUGACGGUAUCCAACCAGAAAGCCACGGCUAACUACGUGCCAGCGGCCGCGGUAA
rnacentral:rRNA from 1 species